AUUGAACGCUGGCGGCAUGCCUUACACAUGCAAGUCGAACGGUAACAGGUUAAGCUGACGAGUGGCGAACGGGUGAGUAAUGUAUCGGAACGUGCCCAGUCGUGGGGGAUAACUGCUCGAAAGAGCAGCUAAUACCGCAUACGACCUGAGGGUGAAAGCGGGGGAUCGCAAGACCUCGCGCGAUUGGAGCGGCCGAUAUCAGAUUAGGUAGUUGGUGAGGUAAAGGCUCACCAAGCCGACGAUCUGUAGCUGGUCUGAGAGGACGACCAGCCACACUGGGACUGAGACACGGCACAGACUCCUACGGGAGGCAGCAGUGGGGAAUUUUGGACAAUGGGCGCAAGCCUGAUCCAGCCAUGCCGCGUGCGGGAAGAAGGCCUUCGGGUUGUAAACCGCUUUUGUCAGGGAAGAAAAGGUUCUGGCUAAUACCUGGGACUCAUGACGGUACCUGAAGAAUAAGCACCGGCUAACUACGUGCCAGCAGCCGCCGUAAGAC
rnacentral:rRNA from 1 species